GCAGUGUUUUAAUGUAUAAAGUUAGAAUUGGAACGAUACAGAGAAAAUUAGCAUGGCCUGCGCAUGGAUGACACGCACAAAUCGAGAAAUGGUCCAAAUUUUU